CACCUCUCAGGGUCGCACCUGGAGAGUUUCCAGGACUCUAUCAGUCUUGACUAUGGGAGGGAGAGUCAAGCAGAGGCAUAUCCAUUCCAUUCCUAGUUUAGACAGUGAUUAGCGAGUGGCAGGCAAUCUGCUACAAUU
rfam:Ornithorhynchus anatinus chromosome 5, whole genome shotgun sequence.